rnacentral:rRNA from 1 species
UUCGUAGGUGGUGCGGCAAGUUGGAAGUGAAAUCUCUGGGCUUAACCCAGAGGCUGCUUUCAAAACUGCCGCGCUCGAGUGCGAGAGAGGUCAGUGGAAUUGCAGGUGUAGCGGUGAAAUGCGUAGAUAUCUGCAGGAACACCCGUGGCGAAGGCGGCUGACUGGAUCGCAACUGACACUGAGGAACGAAAGCUAGGGGAGCAAACAGGAUUAGAUACCCUGGUAGUCCUAGCCCUAAACCAUCGGAACUUGGGGUGGCCCGCGUAGGCGGGUCGUCCCGUAGCUAACGCGUUAAGUUCCGCGCCUGGGGAGUACGGUCGCAAGACUGAA